UACGUAUGGUGCAAGCGUUAUCCGGAUUUACUGGGCGUAAAGGGAGCGCAGGCGGUGCGCCAAGUCUGAUGUGAAACCCCGGGGCUCAACCCCGGGCAUGCAUUGGAAACUGGCGGGCUGGAGUGCCGGAGAGGUAAGCGGAAUUCCUAGUGUAGCGGUGAAAUGCGUAGAUAUUAGGAGGAACACCAGUGGCGAAGGCGGCUUACUGGACGGCAACUGACGCUGAGGCUCGAAAGCGUGGGGAGCAAACGGG
rnacentral:rRNA from 1 species